CAAUAGCGUAUAUUAAAGUUGUUGCGGUUAAAAAGCUCGUAGUUGGAUUUCUGCCGAGGACGACCGGUCCGCCCUCUGGGUGAGUAUCUGGUUCGGCCUGGGCAUCUUCUUGGAGAACGUAUCUGCACUUGACUGUGUGGUGCGGUAUCCAGGACUUUUACUUUGAGGAAAUUAGAGUGUUUCAAGCAGGCACACGCCUUGAAUACAUUAGCAUGGAAUAAUAAGAUAGGACCUUGGUUCUAUUUUUGUUGGGUUUCUAGAGUCUGAUGGUAAUGAUUAAUAGGGAUAGGUUGGGGGCGAUUCGGUAUUUUAACUGUCAGAGGUGAAAUUCUUG
rnacentral:rRNA from 1 species